UUUUUUUUUUUUUUUUUUUUGACUGGGUCUCUCUCUGUCACCCAGGCUUGUGGAGUGCAGUGGUGCGAUCAUAGCUCACUGCAGCCUCUUACUCCCAGACUCAAGUGAUCCUCCCCCCUCAGCCUCCCGAGUAGCUAGAACUACAGGUAUGAGCCACCAUGCCCAGCUAAUUCUUUUUUUUUUUUUUCUAUAUUUUGUAGAGACGGGGUCUCACUCUGUUAUCUGUUGUCUGUUGUCUAGUGAGCAAUACUGUUGAACUCCUGGCCUCAAGUGGUCCUCCCUCCUCAGCCUCCCAAAGCGCUAGGAUUGUUCUGAAGGGCAGGCUUGGCUGCUCACCACUUGCAGCUUUGCAAGCAAAUGGCAAGGAUGAGAUUCAAUAAAAAGAAAGUUACUUUAUUCCAGAGCUUAGCAGUGGGGAGGUGACCAGACUCACCUCUAAAGGAACCAUUUCAGAUUUCUGGGCAGAAAGCAGGGUCUUAAGAAGGGAAAUUUUGGUACACAGGGCAUGCAGGAGGGGCAUGGAGGUGUGGCACCUAGAAGACUUGCUCUGAGGACUUAUCUUGAGCAAUAGGCCAUCUGGUGGUCUGGCUGGCACCAUUGUGGGCAUGACCAGGUUGUAAAUUAAUCAUUGUCUUGAGGCAGUCUCCUGGUGGGGGAUAAUUUUGAAUGUACCUCAUUUGUCUUAAGAUUCAGUCCCUGGAACUUCUAAGCAAACGUAUAAUUAGGUAAGCUAGCAGUCCUUGCAGGGGAGUACCUGGUGGAAAGAAAGGAGGGUAGAGAUUACAUUUGCAUUACUAAAAGGUUAAUACAAAGAGCUGCAGAAGGAAAAGGAAACAAGAAACCUUCAAAAUAGGUACUCAGUUUUAGGAUUACAGGCCUGAGCCACCACACCCAGCCCCCAAGUUUCUUCUUGUUCUUUAUAGCUCUAGAGCCUGGAAGAGGACUCACUCCUAUAUUUUUCACUGGAGAAGAGACUCCUACAAUUGCGCCUGCCCUACCUGGGACCUCCAUCUUCUCAGGUGCCGUGCCAGUCUGGCCAAGAGUGGACACCUUAGUCAAGGUCUCCAGACCUACCAGUCAUGCCCCAUGCAGGAUUCUGUGAACUGUCUCCAGAUCACUUCCAUUUAAAUCCUUCAAUGGCUACCAAUGCCCUGUGUGAUUUUGAACUUGACCCUCUGCAAUUCCCCGUCCUCAUCUCAGAAGUAGGUCAAGAGCAGGCUUGGAGCCAUUCCAUUGGAGCAGCUUCUCUGAGAAACACCAAAUGUAACCUGGCAUCAAAUUGUUAGUAGAGAAAUAUCUCCUCUCAGAGAUUACUGCAUGUUUUUGGAAAGCUUAAGACACUUGGGGAUGGGUGAGGGGAUGAGACCCUCAAGGGGUAUGCUGGAGGAACAAUAGAUGGUGGCUGGAGUGAGGCACGAGGUAGGUUAAGAGGGCCAACUUAGAGGUGGUAGAUCCUAUUUCCCAUAGACCUUCUGUUUUGCUGAGUUGGCCAUGAUGUUUGAGGUCGGAGCUAAAUUAGAACAGUGGCACAAAUGAGCGCAGCUUGUCUUCUGCCCUUUUCCCAGGCAGAGUUCAGCCUCUCAUUUAAACAAAUGUUGGAUAAAUAUUUAAAGAACAAAGUUUUAAAGGGUGCUAAACCAUCAGACUGCAGCACUAGACAACGUGUUUCUCUCUAGCCUUGCUCACUCCUUCUCCCUUCUCUGUCUGUCUUUCCUUUCACAUCCAUAUUCCUUUGCCCUCCCCUUCCAUCUGCCCUGCCGCUCCCCGCAGUGGCCAAGGACACAGGCUGGAUCGGAUGCCCACAUUGGAUUCUCAGCCUCACCAUUUAAUAAGUAAGAGUCCCUGGAAAUGGUGUUUUUUGUUUGUUAGGUUGUUCUGGAGUUUUGUGGGCUUUUUCUGCACUUUUGAAAUUAAUCUCUGUGUCUGGUUUCUCAUCUGGAAGUUGGGAUAACAGUAGUGCCAUACCAACUACAGAGCUGAUAGGAUUAAAUGAGAUCAUUUAUUACCUGGCACCAUAAUUGGGUAAAACAUUUUUAUUAUUAACACUGUGCCUGACACUUGGAAUUAUUUUAAUCCACUCAACCCAGUAAGCACUUAAUAGAUGUUCCUUGCAUUGAAUUGAAUGCUAAAUCCCAUUGCUAAUCUCCUAUCACCUCAUCCUCACCUUUCUCUAACCUCACUCUCCCCCUUGCGAGAACUUCUUAUCUGAAGUCAAGAUAAGAAUGAAAAGAACAAUCCAAAUUCUGUAUUCCCAGAUCCCAUCAAAUAUUUUGAAUUGCAAACGGAAGCAGAAUGUUCUCUGAUGGAAUACUCUGCUAUAUUUUCCUGAAAGACUAUUUUAAAAUAUUCAUCUACCCUAAUUAGUAAAAGAAGGUCGAUUUGCAAAGCAGGUGAACGAUAUUUUGAGGCUCACUCUUGAACAGUAGAAGAGUGUCAGUUCGUGGGACUUUAUUGUAUGGAGUUCCUAGGGCCUCAGGGUCAUGAUGUUGGCAUUUAAACCUUAGCAAGAAGAGCGCUGAAAGCAAAGCUGACAUAUAUAAGAAUGAGUGGGCCCCGGUGCUGCCUUUUUGUUCUUUCAGAAAGAUCAUAGCAUACUAAUCGGAAUGACUUCUGAUUGUUCCUUGGCGGCUGCCACAUCACUCUGAACACACCACCCUUCAGUUCUCUGGAUGGUCUAUUUGGUUAUGACGGAAUGAAUUUUAACACGGUCCUUCCUCCUUCCUUUCCUCUUCCCUCCUUCCCUCCUUUACUCUUUCUCUCUCUGUCUUUCUUCAUUUCUGUCUUCCUUUAUUAAUUCACUCAAGGAUAUUUAAGGCUGUCUACCACAGGCCAGGCAGUAAACCAUAUUGAGUUGGUACUUACUCUUGUGAAUCUUACAAUCUAGCUAGGAACACAGACAUUGAAUGUUAGUAAAUUAGAAGUUGCCAUGGGAGUAAGAAGAGAUAAGACCGAACCCAUUUCUGCAGGAUGAGAGAAGUUCCCCUGGAAGAAAUAAUUAUCCCUGGAGAUCUGAAAAAUGAGCAGUUCAGCUAGGAGAAACAGGCUAGGAAGAGGGAGUGUGGGGGCCAGCAAGGGCAGUGGGAGAAGAGUAUGGGAACUCUUUUGCACUCAAGCAGCAGAAAGUGCUCCUGGCCUCAACCUGCAACUGCUCUGGGGGAUGCCUGUGGCCCUGAGCACUUCUGGAAAAUCUCUUCUACUACCUCUGUGCUAGGGGUGGCUUUGCUUAGAGAUGAAAUCAGCUGCCACGUCCUGCUGUGAGGUGAGAGGAUUUUGUGCCACACUCUGGGCUUGGUCAUCUGUGACCACUUCCAGUUUGCACACGUGGAGGUCUAGUCUCUGAGAAGCAAAGCAACUUGCCCGAGACUCAACACUCUGAGAGGCAGAGCUGGAAUUAGAACCCAGGAUUGUCUGUCUCUAAAACGUGUGCUUUUUCCACAAGACUAAGGUAACUCCUAGAGGUUUUCUUAGGCAAACCUUCCUGCCUGAAAAUAUCAUCUUUACACAGGUGACUGCAACCCUUCCACCAGAGAAAGGUUAGGUCUUAGAAAAUAACAUAGUUCAGGAAUGCCGUCUGACCCAGCAAUCCCAUUACUGGGUAUAUACCCAAAGGAUUAUAAAUCAUUCUACUGUAAAGACUCAUACACGCAUAUAUUUAUUGCAGCACUAUUUACAAUAGCAAAGACUUGGAACCAACCCAAAUGCCUAUCAGUGAUAGACUGGAUAAAGAAAAUGUGGCACAUAUAUGCCAUGGAAUACUAUGCAGCCAUAACAAAGAAUGAGUUCCUGUCCUUUGUGGGGACAUGGAUGAAGCUGGGAGCCAUCAUUCUCAGCAAGCUAACACAGGAACAGAAACCAAACACCGCAUGUUCUCACUCAUAAGUGGGAGUUGAACAGUGAGAACACAUGGACACAGGGAGGCGAACAUCACACACCAGGGCCUGUUGGGGGUUGGGGGCAAGGAGAGGGAGAGCAUUAGGACAAAUACCUAAUGUGUGUGGGGCUUAAAACCUAGAUGACGGGUUGAUAGGUGCAGCGAACCACCAUGGCACAUGUAUACCUAUAUAACAAACCUGCACAUUCUGCACAUGUAUACCAGAACUUAAACUAAAAAUAAAAAGAAAAAAGAAGAAAAUAGCAUGGUUCUUUUCCCAUGCCCCUGUUGUAAUUACCAAAACAAACACUGGGCAAGCUUCGAAAUGUUGAAAAUGCUUACAAUAAAGAAAACGGGACCAGCA